CAAAUGAAUGAAACUAGUGGCAUAAUCAACCUCUUGCACCUAAAAUUCACAGUGAUGGUGAGUCUUACCAGAAUUUCUCUUCAACCCCCAAACUUUCCAUUACUCAUGCCACGGUACAAACAUUUCUCCUACCGUAGCCUCAGCUCUUUUAUGGUAACGGGAAACAAGGACACUGAGAAAGAGGGGUGACUCCCAGGGUAUGUCCACGUGAAGGUCUGAGGGCAAAAACUCCAAGGUCUAAGACCCGCUCCACUUCUCUGUGGCUCACAUACCUGAGGCUUCUGGACCUACCUAUUCCCUGGGCCUCACUAAUGGGGAUGCUGUUCCCACUUGCCUAUCUCCCAGGAGAGCCAGAGCGUUAAUUAAUGCCUGUCUCAUGCUUUGAAGAUAAAAUUAUUUAGAGAGGCAGGGGAGGAAGAUAAACAAAAUCAGACCUUCCUGGCUGGAUUACGCCUGAGAUCCGUCUGGAUGUUUAGAGAAAGCCCGCAAAUCACAGUCCUCUAAAGCUCCCUGGAACCGAAUCUUCUGCAGGGAAGCCGUCCUUCUCCCCAGCAUCCUCCCCCCCAUGGCGUCACUGAAGGCCACCAUACCCUGGGGACCCUGUGUAUCUUCCUGAGUGGCCAACACCACUGGCCAGCAUGAGGCUGAAGGACAGCAAUGGUCUCUAUCCCUUACCCUGCAUGUCCCUUGAGCAGCUGAGCCAAGCAAGCCCCAUGUCCGGGAUGACCAAUUACACAUGACCAACUGUUGAAGGGAUUCAGAUCUACAGGGACCCAGGCAUAAGAAAAGGGUACCCUCCUACACUGCUGGUGGGAAGGUAAACUGGUACAACCACUAUGGAAAACAGUAUGGAGGUUCCUCAGAAAACUAAAUAUAGAACCACCAUAUAAACCAGUCAUGCCAGCCCUGGUCAUACAUCCGGACAAAACUACAAUCAAAAAGAUACACACACCCCUAUGUUCACAGCAGCACUGUUCACAGCAGCCAAGACAUGGAAACAACCUAAUGUCCAUCAGCAGAUGAAUGGAUUAAGAAGAUGUGGUACGUAUAAUGCACAACGGAAUACUACUCAGCUGUAAAAAGGAAAAAAAAAGAAUGAAAUAAUACCAUGUGCAGCAACAUGAAUGCAACUAGAGAUUCUCGUACUAAGGUAAGUCAGUAAGAGAAACAGAAAGACAAAUACCACAAGUUAUCACCUAUAUGUGGUAUCUAAAAUGUGAUAAAAAAUGAUCCUGUCUACAGAGCAGAAACAGACUCGAAGACUUGUGGAUGCCAAGGGGGAGGGAGUGGGAUGGACCGGGAGUUUGGGGUUAGUAGAUGCAAACUAUUACAUUUAGAAUGGACAAGCAAUGAAGGCCUACCAGACAGCACAGGGAGCUUUAUCCGAUCUCCUGUGUUAGAACGUGAUGGAAGCUAAUAUGAGAAGAAGAAGAUGACUGAGUCGCUUUACUGUACAGCAAAAAUUGACAGAACACUGUAAAUCAACGAUACUUUAAUUUUUUUUUAAAGUGGAAAAAAAAAAAAAGAAAAGAAUUAACCUCCCAGCUUUGCCUUGGUAUCCUCACCCGAGGCACACGCGGGGCACACUCACUCAUAAGGAGAGGGGUCAGAGCCAAAGCCCGUGGUGGACCAAUGUUGUUGGGAGUUGCAGUGUUCCAGGUGGUAGCAAAGAGCAAAGUACUUCGCCUGGGGCUUCCUGGAAAACCCUUCCACUCCCCAGUACUCCUGUUCCGCUCUCAGGCAAAACAGCAUCUCCAGGAGAGGAAGGGGUGAUAGGUCAGAGGGUCAGAAACAGGAAAAGACCGAGGCAGGGGAUGUGAGCGGGAGGCCUGCCGCAGGCCAGCCGCCUCUGAGGUCCACAGCCUCGGCUGCCCAGUUCGGAGCAGGAGGAGCUCCGGCCCCAUCCGCCUUAUACAAACACUGAGGGAAGCAAAGGAAACAACGAGCCCUGGCUGCCAGUCUGCGUUUACAGAGAGCCACAGAGUCUGUUUUCUUACCCAUGCAGACAGCUUCUAAAUUAUGCAUUUCCCCAGAGCAGAAUUAUUUCUUCUCUCACUUCUCUUCAGGAGGAAACCCCAAAAAAAGUUCACAGGGCAGGGGUUUCUGGUUAUGUUCAGUUUCAAAUCUCAAUCUCAAAAUGUAUUCGAAGCCACCUUCUGAGGAAUCAGCAUUCAGAGUCAGCAUGAAACAUGAGUGUGUCACAUAAAAACACAAACACAUGCAUCAGACACCACAGCUCUGAACUUAAAAGAGAAAAAUGGGGAAUUCCCAUUAUGGCUCAGCAGUAAUGAACCUGAUUAUAUCCAUGAGGACAUAGGUUCAAUCCCUGGCCUGGCUCAGUGGGGUAAGGAUCCGGCAUUGCUGUGAGCAGCAGUGUAGGUUGCAAACUCUGCUCAGAUCCUGCGCUUCUGUGGUUGUGGCGUAGGCCAGCAACUGUAGCUCCGAUUCAAUCCUCAGCCUGGGAACUUCCAUAUGCCUCGAGUGGGCCCCUAAAAAGAUCAAAAAUUUAAAAAAAAAAAAAAAAAGGGUAAAAAAUGAGAAAAAUGGACCAUGUAAGUAAUAUCCCAGGCAACAUCUCAGGCUGCCGGGUGCUUGAAAAGCCUGCUAGAUGGCAGGCCUUGGACUCUGCUCUACAGUCACUCUGCUCCUCUUCCUCUUUCGUAAGAAUUCAUAGGCAUCCACAAAAGUGGCUCCUUCCCCGAGAAGAACAGAAAGAAAAAGGUGGCAGGCUGAAAUAGGAAUCUUGUUCAACUGGUACAGGGCAAACAAAGAAUGAGGGGGGAGGGAGUUCCCUUAGCGGCUCAGCAGUUAAUGAACCCAACUAGUAUCCAUGAGGAU
ensembl:lncRNA